rnacentral:rRNA from 1 species
UGGGGAAUAUUGGGCAAUGGGCGCAAGCCUGACCCAGCAACGCCGCGUGAGGGAAGAAGGUCUUCGGAUUGUAAACCUCUGUCCUUGGGGACGAAAGAAAUGACGGUACCCAAGGAGGAAGCUCCGGCUAACUACGUGCCAGCAGCCGCGGUAAUACGUAGGGAGCGAGCGUUGUCCGGAAUUACUGGGCGUAAAGGGUGCGUAGGUGGCGCUGCAAGUCAGAUGUGAAAUCCCCGGGCUUAACUCGGGGGGUGCAUUUGAAACUGCGGUGCUUGAGUGCAGGAGAGGAAAGCGGAAUUCCUAGUGUAGCGGUGAAAUGCGUAGAUAUUAGGAAGAACACCAGUGGCGAAGGCGGCUUUCUGGACUGUAACUGACGCUGAUGCACGAAAGCGUGGGGAGCAAACAG